rnacentral:rRNA from 1 species
AUCCGGGUUGCGGACAGUGUCUGGUGGGUAGUUUGACUGGGGCGGUCUCCUCCCAAAGAGUAACGGAGGAGCACGAAGGUUAGCUAAUCCUGGUCGGACAUCAGGAGGUUAGUGCAAUGGCAUAAGCUAGCUUGACUGCGAGAGUGACGGCUCGAGCAGGUGCGAAAGCAGGUCAUAGUGAUCCGGUGGUUCUGAAUGGAAGGGCCAUCGCUCAACGGAUAAAAGGUACUCCGGGGAUAACAGGCUGAUACCGCCCAAGAGUUCAUAUCGACGGCGGUGUUUGGCACCUCGAUGUCGGCUCAUCACAUCCUGGGGCUGAAGUAGGUCCCAAGGGUAUGGCUGUUCGCCAUUUAAAGUGGUACGCGAGCUGGGUUUAGAACGUCGUGAGACAGUUCGGUCCCUAUCUGCCGUGGGCGCUGGAGAAUUGAGGGGGGCUGCUCCUAGUACGAGAGGACCGGAGUGGACGCAUCACUGGUGUUCGGGUUGUCAUGCCAAUGGCACUGCCCGGUAGCUAAAUGCGGAAGAGAUAAGUGCUGAAAGCAUCUAAGCACGAAACUUGCCCCGAGAUGAGUUCUCCCUGAGACUAUAAGUCUCCUGAAGGAACGUUGAAGACGACGACGUUGAUAGGUCGGGUGUGUAAGCGCAGCGAUGCGUUGAGCUAACCGAUACUAAUGAACCGUGAGGCUUAACCUU